UGCAUUGCAGUUUGGGGAGAGGAGAGGACAUCCCCACUAGAAGAGGCUGGAGGGCCUGCCCGUGACCUCACAACAGAUGAUGAUGCCAGCCAGGUGCCGGGCCCUUCAUGCUGUCCAUCUCCUGUGCUUUCUUCCUCCACCCGACAUCUGUAGGCUCCUGUUACUCAGAGAGAAACUCAGAGCCACAAGGGGAACAUCAGCAGUGCUGACUAUCCUGGAUGAUGAGCCAUGAUGUUACUGCCCCGAAGAGGCUCCCUUGCCCUGCAAGGCCCCUGGAUGGCCACUGUGGCCAGAGCAGGCCCUGCUGUGGCCUAUGACGAGCAGGGUGAGGGUGCUGGCCCCUUGGAUCACAGCCUUCAGUUGCUUGCCUCAUCCUUGAGCCAGACUGGCUCCCCAAGUUGUACCCAGUGCCUCUUCCAGGCGGUGCACGGCAGUCAGCCCUCCAGUAAGAGUCUGAGAGAAAUGGGAUCGUGGCCCAUCUUCCAAAACUUUAGGCCCUUGGAGAGAAGAGGCAGUGAACGAAAAUCACUAACACGGUGGAAAACAGGAAGGAUCCAGAAGAACGACAGACAUAUAAAGGGCUGCUGCACAACACCCUUAAUUUUGGCUCCCAAGAUCCAGCUCCCCAUUCUUUCUGAUCAGCUUGUUAGAGACAGAAGGAUCCAUGACUUGGGGUUCACGUGCCUGGGUGUAUCUGGCUUUGCAGGUAGCCAACAGUGUGACUUAGGACAAGUCAUUUGCCACGGAUUAGAGGAGAUGAGCUAAGGACUCCCCGACCUGCCAUACUGUAUGAUCCUAAAGUGACAGAGGAGACAGGAGGGGAAAGCAUGGGUACCCAGGGCAGCAGACAAGCUGUGAGCCCCAGCCGGGCUGUUUGUUUAAUAGAGUCCCCUCCCCACCCGUCCUAUUACCGCAGCUUAUUAGAGGGGGUUUAUGAAAAGACUGGAAUCCAUGCUCCGGGGUCCAUACUGCUCUGGCGGAGGGUUUAGCACCAUAAAACUCACUUUGUAAAAGUGCAGCAGCUGUGAUAAAUAAGCUUAAGCCUCAGUAAUCACUUUUUCACUUUUACCAAUUACGCUAGGCUGCUUUGUGACAGAAGUUAAUGCCAAGUAAGAAUUUUAAAGAAGCCUCAUUUUCCUUGUCUAAUUAAAUUAAGUACUUGAAAGGUGAUUCACGUGUUGAUUCCCCCCCCUCCCCACAUUAGUCAACUGAAAAUUACAGGGUCUUUUAGAAGUCGGGGCCACGUGACCCGCCUGCUCAGCCUCUAAGGGUCAGGGAGCCCUCACCCCUGGACGCUCUCCUGCUGGCCUCCCACCUAACCCAUGUUUUGUGUGUGGC
rnacentral:lncRNA from 1 species